AGUUGAUUAUGGCUCAGGACGAACGCUGGCGGCAUGCCUAACACAUGCAAGUCGAACGGGGUAGGCAAUACCCUAGUGGCGAACGGUGAGUAACACAUAAGCAAUCUGCCUUCACAGGGGAUAACAGCGGGAAACUGCUGCUAAUACCGCAUAAGACCACGGUACCGCAUGGUACAGGGUAAAAACGAAUCAGUGGUGAAGGAUGAGCUUAUGUCCCAUUAGCUAGUUGGUGAGAUAACAGCCCACCAAGGCGACGAUGGGUAGCCGACCUGAGAGGGUGAUCGGCCACACUGGAACUGAGACACGGUCCAGACUCCUACGGGAGGCAGCAGUGGGGAAUAUUGGGCAAUGGAAGGAAACUCUUACCCAGCAAUGCCGCGUGAGUGAAGAAGGUCUUCGGAUUGUAAAGCUCUUUGAUUGGGGACGAAGAAAGUGACGGUACCCAAAGAACAAGCCCCGGCUAACUACGUGCCAGCCGCCGC
rnacentral:rRNA from 1 species